ACAGGGAUUGCCCCAGUAACGGCGAGUGAAGCGGCAACAGCUCAAAUUUGAAAUCUGGCUCUCGGGCCCGAGUUGUAAUUUGUAGAGGAUGCUUUUGGUGAGGUGCCUUCCGAGUUCCCUGGAACGGGACGCCAUAGAGGGUGAGAGCCCCGUCUGGUUGGACGCCGAACCUCUGUAAAGCUCCUUCGACGAGUCGAGUAGUUUGGGAAUGCUGCUCUAAAUGGGAGGUAUAUGUCUUCUAAAGCUAAAUACCGGCCAGAGACCGAUAGCGCACAAGUAGAGUGAUCGAAAGAUGAAAAGAACUUUGAAAAGAGAGUUAAACAGUACGUGAAAUUGUUGAAAGGGAAGCGCUUGUGACCAGACUUGGGCUUGGUUGAUCAUCCGGGGUUCUCCCCGGUGCACUCUUCCGGCCCAGGCCAGCAUCAGUUCGCCCUGGGGGACAAAGGCAUCGGGAACGUGGCUCUCUCCGGGGAGUGUUAUAGCCCGUUGCGUAAUACCCUGCGGCGGACUGAGGUUCGCGCAUUCGCAAGGAUGCUGGCGUAAUGGUCAUCAGUGACCCGUCUUGAAACACGGACCAAGGAGUCGUCUUCGUAUGCGAGUGUUCGGGUGUCAAACCCCUACGCGAAAUGAAAGUGAACGCAGGUGAGAGCUUCGGCGCAUCAUCGACCGAUCCUGAUGUUAUCGGAUGGAUUUGAGUAAGAGCAUACGGGGCCGGACCCGAAAGAAGGUGAACUAUGCCUGUGUAGGGUGAAGCCAGAGGAAACUCUGGUGGAGGCUCGCAGCGGUUCUGACGUGCAAAUCGAUCGUCAAACAUGGGCAUGGGG
rnacentral:rRNA from 1 species